AACGAACGCUGGCGGCAUGCCUAACACAUGCAAGUCGAACGAAGUCUUCGGACUUAGUGGCGCACGGGUGCGUAACGCGUGGGAAUCUGCCCUUGGGUGCGGAAUAACUUCUCGAAAGGGAUGCUAAUACCGCAUAAUGUCGUAAGACCAAAGAUUUAUCGCCCAAGGAUGAGCCCGCGUAAGAUUAGCUAGUUGGUGGGGUAAAAGCCUACCAAGGCGACGAUCUUUAGCUGGUCUGAGAGGAUGAUCAGCCACACUGGGACUGAGACACGGCCCAGACUCCUACGGGAGGCAGCAGUGGGGAAUAUUGGACAAUGGGCGAAAGCCUGAUCCAGCAAUGCCGCGUGAGUGAUGAAGGCCCUAGGGUUGUAAAGCUCUUUUACCCGAGAUGAUAAUGACAGUAUCGGGAGAAUAAGCUCCGGCUAACUCCGUGCCAGCAGCCG
rnacentral:rRNA from 1 species